rnacentral:lncRNA from 1 species
UCCCACUACAUGAUGAUCGUGCAUCAUUUUUGUGAUCUAAAAGUUCCAGGUUGUAUACCACAUGUAGCUAAAUAGAUCUAUUCCAAAACAUCACUAAAAUAACAACACAACAAGAAGAUAUAAUCUGGUCAAACUAUGCCAGAGAAGCUGUUCUUCAUGAAUCUGGGUUUUUCCCAGAAACUCAUAAGGCUGGUGCUCAACCCUAGUUUGACCACCCAAAUCUUUGAUCAUGUAACCGAUCUGGUUGUUCUAUGAGUUUUAAGAUGUAGUAGUCGUGUCAAACUACAAGUCUAUAACAAGAACAUGACCAUACUAUAACGGAUCAGCAAGAACAGAAGCUCUAAAAAUCACUGUCAGAAAUUCUGGGUUUCUAGGUUGCCCAGAAACUCAGAAUUUCUGAUCGGUCAACUCACUUUGACCACGAAUAUCUUUUAAUCUACAAUAGAUAUGAACCUGAUUCAAGUUCCAGAUUCAAGAUCUCCUGACAGAGUACAAGUAUAAACCUUUAA